rnacentral:rRNA from 1 species
UACGAAGGGGGCUAGCGUUGCUCGGAAUCACUGGGCGUAAAGGGCGCGUAGGCGGCCUUCUAAGUCGAACGUGAAAUCCCUGGGCUCAACCCAGGAACUGCGUCCGAUACUGGAAGGCUUGAAUCCGGGAGAGGGAUGCGGAAUUCCAGGUGUAGCGGUGAAAUGCGCAGAUAUCAGGAGGAACACCGGUGGCGAAGGCGGAUCUCUGGGCCUUACCUGACGCUCAGGUGCGAAAGCUAGGGGAGCGAACAGG